GAUGAACGCUGGCGGCGUGCCUAAUACAUGCAAGUCGAGCGAACAGACGAGGAGCUUGCUCCUCUUACGUUAGCGGCGGACGGGUGAGUAACACGUGGAUAACCUACCUAUAAGACUGGGAUAACUUCGGGAAACCUGAGCUAAUACCGGAUAAUAUAUUGAACCGCAUGGUUCAAUAGUGAAAGACGGUUUUGCUGUCACUUGUACAUGGAUCCGCGCCGCAUUAGCUAGUUGGUAAGGUAACGGCUUACCAAGGCAACGAUGCGUAGCCGACCUGAGAGGGUGAUCGGCCACACUGGAACUGAGACACGGUCCAGACUCCUACGGGAGGCAGCAGUAGGGAAUCUUCCGCAAUGGGCGAAAGCCUGACGGAGCAACGCCGCGUGAGUGAUGAAGGUCUUCGGAUCGUAAAACUCUGUUAUUAGGGAAGAACAAAUGUGUAAGUAACUAUGCACGUCUUGACGGUACCUAAUCAGAAAGCCACGGCUAACUACGUG
rnacentral:rRNA from 1 species